rnacentral:rRNA from 1 species
GCGGCAGGCCUAACACAUGCAAGUCGAACGCUGUAGCAAUACAGAGUGGCAGACGGGUGAGUAACGCGUGGGAACAUGCCCUUCGGUUCGGAAUAACUCAGGGAAACUUGAGCUAAUACCGGAUACGCCCUUAGGGGGAAAGAUUUAUUGCCGAAGGAUUGGCCCGCGUCCGAUUAGCUAGUUGGUGAGGUAAUGGCUCACCAAGGCGACGAUCGGUAGCUGGUCUGAGAGGAUGAUCAGCCACACUGGGACUGAAACACGGCCCAAACUCCUACGGGAGGCAGCAGUGGGGAAUAUUGGACAAUGGGCGCAAGCCUGAUCCAGCCAUGCCGCGUGAGUGAUGAAGGCCCUAGGGUUGUAAAGCUCUUUCGCCAGGGACGAUAAUGACGGUACCUGGAUAAGAAGCCCCGGCUAACUUCGUGCCA